AACAUAUAGGAUCGUAAGUUAGCAUCUUAAUUCUAUUAGAGAUUUAGGUUAGUUGAAAUUUGGUAUUGAAAAAUUUAUAGCUUUGAAAUGAAUGAGCCACUGUUAGUUUGUUCUUUGUUGACAGUUAAAUCAAAGUUGGGUUAGUGUAGUUAGGAUGGUUGAAACUAGUUAUAAUUUGUCAAAUGAUGCAUGUAAGAAGUGAAGAA
rnacentral:lncRNA from 1 species